AAAGAGGUUACAAAGUUAUUUUUCCAGUAAAUAAAAUACAGGUAAAUUGUUCCACAUUGUUAAUAAUUGGCUAUUUGUGCUAAUGUGUUACUUGAAAUUUAUAAAAAAGGAUCCUCUUUUUAAGAUUUUAUAAAAAUACUCCAGAGUAUUGCCUAAAGUUACCUUUUCAAAUCCUAUAGAGAUUGUAUUUAAUGCUUUUAUAAUUGAAAGUUACCUUUUCAAAUCCUAUAGAGAUUGUAUUUAAUGCUUUUAUAAUUGGCAUAUGUAAAAAGGACCAUAGAAAUAGAAGCUGGUGAUAGAAUUGCUCAAUUAUUAUUGCUUUCAUAUUUUAAAGGCAAAAUGGCGCCUAUAUGUAGAACUGGAGGUUUUGAAAGUACAGGAAAAAAGGUGUUUUGACAAACAGUUAUCAAUGAUAAACAGCCUAAAUUAAAAACAAAAUUAUAUGGGAUUGAGAUUGAAAGAUAAUUGGAUUCUGGUGCUGGAUUUAUCUAUAAUUUCACAAGAAUCCUGAGAUCCCAAUUGGCCCCUUAAGAAUUUCAUCUCUAACCUACAAGGUAUCAGCACAGCUCAGACGCCAUUGCAGAGCAGGCUACUCUUAAAUUGGAAGGAUGAGUAAGGUCAUGCAGGAACUUUUCAACCCUUUGUGCUACCUGACAUUCCAGUGAACUUGUGGGGACGAGAUGUGUUAGACGGUAUGGGAGCAGUGCUUACUACACAGCCUGUACAACAGAUACUAAAAAGUCAGGGUUACUGCCCAGGCAGAGGCUUAGGAAAAAUGUUGCAAGGAGACCCACUCCCUGUGGCAGACAAAAGCUGUGUCACUAGAGGUCCUGGGGAUACAAGAGGAUUAGGGUCUUUUCCAUAGGGGUCACUGCACAGCAGCCUUCAAUUAUACAACUGAUAAAAAUCACUUGGAAAAGUGAUGACCCUGUAUGGGUGGAGCAGUGGCCCCUUACUAAAGAAAAAUUGGAGGCUGCGAACACAUUAGUUUAGGAACAGUUAGAUGCUGGUCAUAUCAUUCCUUCCACUUCACCUUAGCACUCACCUAUAUUUGUUAUUAAAAAGAAGUUAGGAAAAUGGAGGCUAUUACAGGAUCUUAGAGCUGUAAAUAAAACCAUGCUUCUCAUGGGAGCAACACAGCCUGGUUUGCCUGCCCCUGUGGCAAUUCCUAAACAUUGGCAUUUAAUUGUGGUUGACUUGAGGGAUUGUUUCUUCACCAUUCCUUUGCAUUCCGAGGACAGUCCUCACUUUGCUUUUAGUGUUCCUUCAGAAAAUCUUAGAGAACCUUAUCAGAGAUAUCAGUGGGUGGUAUUGCCUCAAGGAAUGGCCAAUAGCCCUACAGCUGAGCAGAAGACAGUGACCAAACAUGAAAGAAAGCCAGUAAAAAAGUUUCCCCAUGGAUUUUGCCUUCAGUUGCUAGCUUGAGUUUCUACCUUAAGCUCCCACAAUGGUGGGUUGUAAUCUGGCAAUUUCAGCCAAAUAAAUGUGUUCAUUACCUAAGAUGCUUGGUUAGAAAUUUAAUCACAGCAAGAAGCAAGCAAGUUAGAACAAAACAUGGGACACAGAAAGUGAUUUUAUUGCUGCAUAGAACCUAGGAUUGAUGACUUUUGGAGGAAUGUUGAAGAUAUUAGGACUUUAGAAUGCAAAAGCCAUAGAGAGCUGUACACAGAGCUUAAUCAGCUGUUCUUACAGGACUGAGAAGAUGGGAGUAUUGAGAGCAAUGCAGACAGUGGAUAUUGAGGUCAUAGGAUUUCAGUGAAAAACAGACACCAUGUUAAAUUUAGCCAGAAGUCAUUUCUAUAACAUUUUGGCUCCUAAUCAUACUUUCUCCAUUCCCUGAGAAAUUGAGUAAGGCAGAAUUAAAAAUUAAUGGGCUGAUUUCUUUGAUAAAAUACUGAUUUUGUUGGAUGGUUAUUACUGGUGACUCAUUUAGGUCUCCAGUGAAAAAGAAACAAAGAAAGAAAUGAAACAUUUGUAUUUUUUAGAGAAAAGUUUUAGGUAGUUUCAGGUAACAUUGCAGUGGUGAAACAGGCAGGAACUUUUCAGGAGAGUGUCACUGUUAAACUGAAGGCACCUGCUCUACAGCAGAAGCCUAUAAAGAUGCCCCAAGGAUAAAACUCUAUCCAGCUGAACUUUCAAUUUAUGGAAGGAGUAAGCAAAACGAUUUCUGAUUCUAGGAAUGAACUUCAUGAAGAACCUGCUGCAACUGUGGUCCAAGUAUAAUAAGGUCCAUCACAACUUAGAACAUAGUAGCCAAAUUUGGGGAGUUUGGGGGCAGUCACUCAUGUUGUAUUGGUUCUUGAAACAAGAAAGAUGCAAAAUGUAAAAGCCGUGGAUUCUUCCUCUGUGGUUUCAGUUCAGCACUGUUGUUUGUCAUGGGUCAGAAACCCAAUGUGGAGACUCUAAGAAUCCAUUGCAUGAAGCUAUGAAGAUGAAGCCUGUAUUGAGACCAUUUGAUAUUGAGUUAUGCAAGCUAUGAGAUAUCUGCCAUGGAGAACUGGAUACAGGGAGUGGAAGUAGCAGAGGAGAGACAUGGAUGAACAUUUGCAGGCAUAUUGCUAUCUAAGCUCUCUGAGAAUGAAACCUCAUGUGUCUGAGUCAGAGCUACAGGACUUGAUGUUUGCCCUGCUGAGUUUCUUCUUGUCUUGGUCCAAUCUUCCCUCCUUGCAUCCACAGUCCUCUCUUUUCCUUUUUUUUUUAACAUUUAUUAUUCUUUCAUGCCCCGCCUGCAGGGCUUCACCGGGUUCGACCACCCUAAGGACGGAAUGAUAGGGACAGGAGAUACAAGGAAACACAACAAGUCUAGAUUCUGAUCAAGAAUGCAGUGACUUAUGAUGAUGUGCAUGUUGACUUCACUUGGGAAGAGUGGACUUUGCUGGUUCCUUCCCAGAAGAAUCUCUACAAAGAUGUGAUGUUGGAGACCUACAGGAACCUCAGUAGUAUAGGAUACAGCUGGGAAGACCAUGAUACUGAAGAACAUUGUCAAAGUUCUGGAAGACAUGAAAGGUACUUUUCAUAUGUGAGCUAAUACAAAUAUGUCUCUAAAGAAAUUGUAAUGUGUCCUAGAAGUUUUAAACAAAAGCAACAUUGUAAAUAAGCAUAGCUUAAAGUGCAUUGAUAAUUAUUAAAUUCUCACAAAACCACAUACCACAAUUUCAGGUAGGUGUAUUGCAUUUGCAAGGCAUUCGUUUAAGAAAGAAGACAAAGAAACAAUGCCUUAACAGAUAUCACGAUUUGAAUCAUAGCACCUUGAGAGUUAUGCUGUAGAACUGUCGGUCCAUUUAUUUCAUAUCACUCAUUUUACAAAAGUUAUACACAUUGAAGAGGUGAUAAGUAUAUCUCCAAAACCUUCUAAUAAGUAAAUAGUACAUAGUAAAGGUAGUGUAUCUCAUAUACUUGUUGUGACUGUGGUAAGUUUAGUGAGAGGAGCAGUUAGAGUCAAGAGUCAAGGGUCAGUUGUGGAGAAACCUUAAUCCCUAUAAAAGUCCAUGAAGACAGAAAGGCAAACUGUGAAUUCAGUGUGGAAACCUUUUAUUAGUUAUUCUUCCUUUACUAGCUGUAAUAUAUAUCACUCUGGAUACAAGUCAUAUGAGCAUAGGGAUCUGGAAAGACAUAGCAUACUUCUCACUUAGAACAAUUGGAAGAUAUGUAGCAGUCCUGACAUUGAAUAUACUUGUUGAAUUUGAUUCAAGUAUACAAGUAAUCAGUUUUCUAACUUUAUUGUUAAUGCAUCAAUAAAUUCAUGGUACAGAAAAGCCCUAUGAGUUCUAGGACUGUGUAAAUACAGCAUGAGUAUAAACACAGUGAUAAAACCUUAAGAUCUGAUUCCUCUUUACCGCUGGACCAAAUUGUAAAAUUAUUUCAUACAGCUAUAAAGAGUCAACAGUGUAUUGAACGUGGUAAAGCUUUUACAUGUGCCAAUUAUCCUUGCAGGCAUGAAAGAAGUCAAACAGGCGAGAAUCAUUCUGUAUAUACUCAAUGUGAUAAAUUCUUUGCAUAUGAUAGUCAUCUUCAAAGGCAUAAAAGAACAAAUACUGGAGAGAAACCCUA